UACGUAGGGUGCGAGCGUUAAUCGGAAUUACUGGGCGUAAAGUGUGCGCAGGCGGCCGAGCAAGUCGAGUGUGAAAGCCCCGAGCUUAACUUGGGAACUGCGCUCGAAACUACUUGGCUAGAGUGUGGCAGAGGGAGGUGGAAUUCCACGUGUAGCGGUGAAAUGCGCAGAGAUGUGGAGGAACACCGAUGGCGAAGGCAGCCUCCUGGGCCAACACUGACGCUCAUGCACGAAAGCGUGGGGAGCAAACAGG
rnacentral:rRNA from 1 species